rnacentral:tRNA from 1 species
GUUCUCAUAUUGUAGCGGUUAUCACGUCGGCCUCACACGCUGAAGGUGCUCAGUUUGAUCCUGGGUGAGAACA